rfam:Schistosoma mansoni strain Puerto Rico chromosome 1, complete genome
AUCCAGCUAACAAGUCUCAUAUAGGACGAAACGCGCGUCCUAGAU